rfam:Stegodyphus mimosarum contig112076, whole genome shotgun sequence.
AAUAAGGUUAUGAUAAUUUAUUCCUAAACCUACAAAAGGUGGAAUAAAUUGGAUGUCUCUUAGU